AACGAACGCUGGCGGCAGGCUUAACACAUGCAAGUCGAACGCCCCGCAAGGGGAGUGGCAGACGGGUGAGUAACGCGUGAGAACAUACCCUUUCCUGCGGAAAAGCUCUGGGAAACUGGAAUUAAUACCGCAUACGCCCUACGGGGGAAAGAUUUAUCGGGGAAGGAUUGGCCCGCGUUGGAUUAGCUAGUUGGUGGGGUAAAGGCCUACCAAGGCAACGAUCCAUAGCUGGUCUGAGAGGAUGAUCAGCCACAUUGGGACUGAGACACGGCCCAAACUCCUACGGGAGGCAGCAGUGGGGAAUAUUGGACAAUGGGCGCAGGCCUGAUCCAGCCAUGCCGCGUGAGUGAUGAAGGCCUUAGGGUUGUAAAGCUCUUUCACCGAUGAAGAUAAUGACGGUAGUCGGAGAAGAAGCCCCGGCUAACUUCGUGCCAGCCGCCGCAGUAAAAC
rnacentral:rRNA from 1 species